rnacentral:rRNA from 1 species
CCUACGGGAGGCAGCAGUGAGGAAUAUUGGUCAAUGGACGAGAGUCUGAACCAGCCAAGCCGCGUGAAGGAUGACGGCUCUAUGGGUUGUAAACUUCUUUUAUAUGGGAAUAAAAUGUUCCACGUGUGGGAUUUUGUAUGUACCAUAUGAAUAAGGAUCGGCUAACUCCGUGCCAGCAGCCGCGGUAAUACGGAGGAUCCGAGCGUUAUCCGGAUUUAUUGGGUUUAAAGGGAGCGUAGGUGGAUGGUUAAGUCAGUUGUGAAAGUUUGAGGCUCAACCGUAAAAUUGCAGUUGAAACUGGCAGUCUGGAGUGCAGUAGAGGUAGGCGGAAUUCGUGGUGUAGCGGUGAAAUGCUUAGAUAUCACGAAGAACUCCGAUUGCGAAGGCAGCUUACUGGACUGCAACUGACACUGAGGCUCGAAAGUGUGGGUAGCAAACAGGAUUAGAUACCCUUGUAGUC